ensembl:lncRNA
AUGGCGAGCCCCGUCGAUGUGAACGCGGUGGAUAAAGUGUUGGAAGAAAUGCUGAAGGUGGAAGCGGACAAUGCCCAGAGGCCAGGCUCAAUCCAGUGGGCUUCGCGCAUCCAGAUGCUGCUGGGGUGGAAGCACGACAUAGCAGAGAAACAACAUGGUAUUGGACGCUUUCUGGAUCAUAUCCUGACAGAUUCAGAGUCAGAUGCUGAGCUCCUCGACUGUUAUCACGCAAAGGAGAAUCCAGUUAAACUGAUGUACAAAGUCAUCGAUCGCUGCCUCGAGAGCGAGGAAAGCGCACUGAAAUUCCUACGGGUCUUUUUUCAGAUGCAGACAUUGCUCUACUUGGACCUGCUAAAAGACGGAUCCAGGGGCAAGUUUGUCAGGAGAGAUCCUCCCGUGGUGGAAUUGACGGAGAAGGUGCGUUCUGCGCUCGGCGAUAAGGUCGAGCAUCUCAAAAACGUGACGGCGACACCCCUUUACAAGAACAGGAUCCUGAAUGUCAAAUGCGCCCUGGACGUACUGAUGACACACAAUCAGCUGCUUCCAGAGGAAUACGCCGAGUUUGGGGUAAACAAGCGCAGUACCACCGCUAUGAUUCGGCUACUGCAGAAACUGUGCAGCGACGCCGCCAUCCCUCGAGCCAACCAGGAGUUCAUCUCAUUGGUGGUGGCCUCCUUUAACCUGCACGUCUUUGACCUUCCGACGAUGCCUCUGAAUGAUGUGCUAGUGUUUGUAAAGUAGAAAUAAAAAACUUAAAAUGUUACUGUGCCAAUUUACAUGCCAUGUCGAUUGUGUGUUACCAAUGAAAUAAUAAAACUAUAUUGAACUAAAGAAACUGGUUGUUGACUGCUGGGAUUACAUUGUGUCAGAAAUCCACAUCCAUCUCCAUCCGUUUUCGCGUAACAGCACAAGGUUGCCAAAAGUGAAAUGUUACUGUGUCACUCUACAUGUCAUGUCAAUGUGUGUUAUAAAAUGAAAUGAAAUAAAAAAAAACUCUUGAACCAAACAAAACUGGUUGUUGACUGCUGGGAUUACAUUGUGUCAGAAAUCCACAUCCAUCUCCAUCCGUUUUCGCAUAACAGCACAAGGUUGCCAAAAGUGAAAUGUUACUGUGUCACUCUUCAUGUCAUGUCAAUGUGUGUUAUAAAAUGAAAUGAAAUUAAAAAAAAAAAAACUAUACUGAACUAAAGAAACUGGUUGUUGACUGCCGGGAUCACAUUGUGUCAGAAAUCCACAUCCAUCUCCAUCCGUUUUCGCAUAACAGCACAAGGUUGCCAAAAGUGAAAUGUUACUGUGUCACUCUACAUGUCAUGUCAAUGUGUGUUAUAAAAUGAAAUGAAAUAAAAAAAAACUCUUGAACUAAAAAAACUGGUUGACUGCCGGGAUCACAUUGUGUCAGAAAUCCACAUCCAUCUCCAUCCGUUUUCGCGUAACAGCGCAAGGUUGCCCAAAGUGAAAUGUUACUGUGUCAAUCUACAUGUCAUGUCAAUGUGUGAAACUGGUUGUUGACUGCUGGGAUUACAUUGUGUCAGAAAUCCACAUCCAUCUCCAUCCGUUUUCGCGUAACAGCACAAGGUUGCCAAAAGUGAAAUGUUACUGUGUCACUCUACAUGUCAUGUCAAUGUGUGUUAUAAAAUGAAAUGAAAUUAAAAAAAACUCUAGAACUAAAAAAACUGGUUGUUGACUGCUGGGAUUACAUUGUGUCAGAAAUCCACAUCCAUCUCCAUCCGUUUUCGCAUAACAGCACAAGGUUGCCAAUGGUGAAAGGCGCAGCACAGGCUGUAAAAACAAAACAAAACAAGACAAAACCCAACAAAAACCCAACCAAACAUGUCAGAUGACAUUUAGACUCAUUUCCCUGUCCCCUGCGUAACAGCACAGUCUUGCCAAUGCCAACAGUACAGCACAGGUUGGAUAAUAUCGCGUCACAUGCGUAUAGAAAUACAAGUAGACUGCGGAGCUGCAACAGCUUUCCAUUUAUUCACAACCCUCUGUGUCUCUCUCUCUCUCUCUCUCUGUGUCUCUCUCUCUCUGUGUGUAUCUCUCCCUCUCUCUGUCUCUCUCUCUCUCUCUCGCGCUCUUUCUGUGUACUAAAAGCCUGCGUGCUACACACAAGUGACCUGUGACCAUGGCGAGCCCCGUCGAUGUGAACGCGGUGGACAAAGUGUUGAAAGAAAUGCUAAAGGCGGAAGCCGACAUAGCCCGGAGCCCAGGCUCAAUCAAGUGGACUUCGCGCAUCCAGAUGUUGCAGACGUGCAAGCCUGACAUAGCAGAUAGACACAGCGACAUGAGCAGUUAUGUGACUCGUUUACGGACAGGAGAUUCGGAUAAUGAUCUCCUCAGAUCUUAUCACUGCAAGAUCAAUCAGGUUGAGAUGAUGCCCAAACUCAUCGAUUGCUACCUCGAGAGCGAGGAAAGCGCAAUGAAAUUCCUACGGGUCGCUUUUCAGGUGGAUAGAUACAUGUAUUUAGACCUGCUAGAAUGCGGAUCCCAGGGGGAGCCUGGUGAGUAUGUGCUAUACUGAGCAAAUUGAUCAAGGCUGCUGCUGCUGCUGCUGCUGCUGCUCAACUGAAGUCAUAUAUAUUUUCUGCACGUGUUUCUUUGUAUUGUUUCGUUUCAGUCAGGAGAGAUCCUCCCGUGGUGGAAUUGACGGAGAAGGUGCGUUCUGCGCUCGGCGAUAAGGUCUCGCAUCUCAAAAACGUGGCGACGACACCCCUUUACAAGAACAGGAUCCUUCAUUUCGACUGCGCCCUGGACCUACUGAUGCAAUACAAGCAGCUGCUUCGAAGGGAAUGUGCCGACUUUUGGAUGAACGAGGACGAUACCGCCGCUAUGACUCGGAUACUGCAGGAACUGUGCAGCGACGCUACCAUCCCUCAAGCCAACCGGGAGUUCAUCUCAUUGGUGGUGGCCUCCUUUAACAUGCACGCCUUUGACCUUCCAGAGAUGUCUGGGGAAGAUGUGCUAGUGUUUGUAAAGUAAAAUGACAAUAAAAAAAAACAAAAAACAAAAACAAAUGUCAAACUGUGUCAAUCUA